UAUAGUUUGGUGUAUGGAGCACGAAAGUUUUUGAAAUUUUUAGAGAUAGUUCAAUUCUAUUAACUAUAA
rnacentral:tRNA from 1 species